rnacentral:lncRNA from 1 species
UGAAGAAAAGUUCUGGAAUUGGAUAGUAGUGAUGACUGUACUACAAGGUGAAGGUGCUUAAUAUCCCUGACUGUACACUUAAAAAUUGUUAAAAUGGAAGCCCAUGCUGACCCACUGGAUGAAACUGGAUGUCUGUGCUCUAUGCUUUCACACGAGCAUGCUUCACCACCUCAGCUAUAGUACUGACCACAUGGUGUUGCAGGGGUUCUCAACUUCUGCACAACUGGCAAUAUCAGGCGUGAAGCUGUGCUUGAUGGCCUAACUGGGAAGGCAAAGCAGUCUUCAACCUCAAGGAGCUGUCCACACACGUGGACGAGUAAUGGAAAUGCUCUGGG